rnacentral:snRNA from 1 species
AUACUUACCUGGCAAGGGAGACACCGUGAUCAAGAAGGCGGUUCACCCAGGGCGAGGCUCAGCCAUUACACUCCGGCUGUGCUGACCCCUGCAAAUUUCCCAAAUGUGGAUAUCUCGAUUGCAUAAUUUCUGGUAGUGGGGGACUGCGUUCGCGCUCUCCCCUG